UACGGCCACACAUGUUGAAGCACCUGUUCUCGUACAAUCACCGAAGUUAAGCAAUGCCGAGUCUGUACUUAGAUGGGUGACCACUUGGGAAUAUCAGGUGUUGUAAG